rnacentral:rRNA from 1 species
GUCGGUUCGGCCGGAUUUCACACAGGUGUUGCAUGGCUGUCGUCAGCUCGUGUCGUGAGAUGUUGGGUUAAGUCCCGCAACGAGCGUAACCCUCAUUCUUAGUUGCCAUCAGGUAAUGCUGGGGACUUUAAGGAAACUGCCAGUGAUAAACUGGAGGAAGGUGGGGAUGAUGUCAAGUCAUCAUGGCCCUUAUGGAGUGGGCUACACACGUGCUACAAUGGUGGCUACAAUGGGCUGCAAAGUCGCGAGGCCAAGCUAAUCCCUUAAAAGCCAUCUCAGUUCGGAUUGUACUCUGCAACUCGAGUGCAUGAAGUUGGAAUCGCUAGUAAUCGUGGAUCAGCACGCCACGGUGAAUACGUUCUCGGGUCUUGUACACACUGCCCGUCACGCCAUG